rnacentral:rRNA from 1 species
GACGAACGCUGACGGCGGGCUUAACACAUGCAAGUCGAAGGGAGUGGCGAACGGGUGAGUAACGCGUGAGUAACCUGCCCUUUUCUUUGGGAUAAGCCUGGGAAACUGGGUCUAAUACUGGAUGGGUUGGGAUUGGCUCGCGUCUUAUACGCUUGGUGGUGGGGUGAUGGCUUAACAAGGCUUUGACGGGUAGCCGGCCUGAGGGGGUGGACGGGCACUCAGGGACGGAGCAACGGCCCAGAGGCCGACGGGGGGGAGCAGAGGGGGCUAUGGCACAAUGGACGAAGGUGUGAUGCAGCGUCGUCGGGGGGGGGAUGAAGGCCGUCGGGUUGUAAACGCCUUGCGCCAGCGGAAUGGUAGUGGGUAAAGAAGCGCCGGCUAACUACGUGCCAGCAGCCGCGGUAAUUC